AACACCUCAACCUCCUCUUGUUUUUUCAAAAGGAGGGUGGACUUGAGCUAUCCCAACAACCUUCACCGGUAGGCGGGCGGCUUGAAAUGCAGGUGCAGCUGGACUUUUAUCUGAGCUAAAAGCAUAUCAAUAAGCGGAGGA
rnacentral:misc_RNA from 1 species